rnacentral:rRNA from 1 species
AUGAACGCUAGCUACAGGCUUAACACAUGCAAGUCGAGGGGCAGCAUGGUCUUAGCUUGCUAAGGCCGAUGGCGACCGGCGCACGGGUGAGUAACACGUAUCCAACCUGCCGUCUACUCUUGGACAGCCUUCUGAAAGGAAGAUUAAUACAAGAUGGCAUCAUGAGUCCGCAUGUUCACAUGAUUAAAGGUAUUCCGGUAGACGAUGGGGAUGCGUUCCAUUAGAUAGUAGGCGGGGUAACGGCCCACCUAGUCUUCGAUGGAUAGGGGUUCUGAGAGGAAGGUCCCCCACAUUGGAACUGAGACACGGUCCAAACUCCUACGGGAGGCAGCAGUGAGGAAUAUUGGUCAAUGGGCGCAGGCCUGAACCAGCCAAGUAGCGUGAAGGAUGACUGCCCUAUGGGUUGUAAACUUCUUUUAUAAAGGAAUAAAGUCGGGUAUGGAUACCCGUUUGCAUGUACUUUAUGAAUAAGGAUCGGCUAACUCCGUGCCAGCAGCCGCGGUAAUACGGAGGAUCCGAGCGUUAUCCGGAUUUAUUGGGUUUAAAGGGAGCGUAGAUGGAUGUUUAAGUCAGUUGUGAAAGUUUGCGGCUCAACCGUAAAAUUGCAGUUGAUACUGGAUAUCUUGAGUGCAGUUGAGGCAGGCGGAAUUCGUGGUGUAGCGGUGAAAUGCUUAGAUAUCACGAAGAACUCCGAUUGCGAAGGCAGCCUGCUAAGCUGCAACUGACAUUGAGGCUCGAAAGUGUGGGUAUCAAACAGGAUUAGAUACCCUGGUAGUCCACACGGUAAACGAUGAAUACUCGCUGUUUGCGAUAUACGGCAAGCGGCCAAGCGAAAGCGUUAAGUAUUCCACCUGGGGAGUACGCCGGCAACGGUGAAACUCAAAGGAAUUGACGGGGGCCCGCACAAGCGGAGGAACAUGUGGUUUAAUUCGAUGAUACGCGAGGAACCUUACCCGGGCUUAAAUUGCAGAUGAAUUACGGUGAAAGCCGUAAGCCGCAAGGCAUCUGUGAAGGUGCUGCAUGGUUGUCGUCAGCUCGUGCCGUGAGGUGUCGGCUUAAGUGCCAUAACGAGCGCAACCCUUGUUGUCAGUUACUAACAGGUUCCGCUGAGGACUCUGACAAGACUGCCAUCGUAAGAUGUGAGGAAGGUGGGGAUGACGUCAAAUCAGCACGGCCCUUACGUCCGGGGCUACACACGUGUUACAAUGGGGGGGUACAGAGGGCCGCUACCACGCGAGUGGCUGCCAUUCCCAAAAACCUCUCUCAGUUCGGACUGGAGUCUGCAACCCGACUCCACGAAGCUGGAUUCGCUAGUAAUCGCGCAUCAGCCACGGCGCGGUGAAUACGUUCCCGGGCCUUGUACACACCGCCCGUCAAGCCAUGGGAGCCGGGGGUACCUGAAGUGCGUAACCGCGAGGAGCGCCCUAGGGUAAAACUGGUGACUGGGGCU